GAGCUCUGCACUCCAUGGGAACUUCAGUCAGGUGGAAAGUUAUUCUCUUCUCUGCAGCUUGAAAGUGCCACCCACACUUCUGGGGUGCUAUGAAGAAAAGCACUUGAGAAUCACGCCCUAGUCACUUCAAACCACCUACGAUCCCCGGACACACCAAGCUCUUUCUUGCUUCUUUGAUUCAGCACAAAACAAACAUCAAAAAACAAUUGACCAUGAAAACUCUUCUCCUUGUUUGCCUGCAGCCUAAUUGCUACUCACUGGUAUAAGGUAAACAACCCAAAUGAGUGACUUGAAGAGACACAGGGUCCACACCCCGCAGGAGUACAAGGAAUUGCAGUAGUGGUAUUACAGCAAAGAAGAAACAACACAGAGCACUCGAAGCUGACACUACACAGACCAAAUGGCAAAGAGGCCCUGCAUAGAAAAUGUAAAACUAUCUUGGCUGCAUCAGGAAACCAGAAUGGUGGUUCAUCAGGAAAAUUACAACAAUUAACAUAAGUGCUGCAAAAAUCAACACUUUAAAUGUCACACUCACUAGUCUGUCCAAAGACUGUAAAAGUACCAUCCCCGUUGCUGGACUAACAGUAAAUAUGAAGCAAUCACCACCAAACCUUGGGCCUGAUGGCUUUACAAUUGAUGUGACAUUCUCUGAGUGAUAAAAUAGCCUCUCAUUUUACAAAAGUUGAGUCUGAAUUUGGCCCCAGGCCCUCUAGCUCUUUCAGGAAAGGCUGUUACUGAACAAAUGAAGAUUUAACCAGCUCAAGCAUCAAACCGCACAUUCCAGUUUGCUAAAAAGGUAAACAGUUCAAACAGGAAGUUAUGAUAUGUACCCAUCCACAGGUCAAUGAAAGUUUUUAUUUACAUUGGAAAACCUUGUGUACACUGGACUAAUAAACCCAAUAAAAUCAGAUCUUUUGGUGUCA
ensembl:lncRNA novel transcript